GAUAACAAAGUGAAACAUAUCUUUUAUUGUAAAAUAACGGUAAACUCAAAGGGUUAGAACUCAGAGCUAAAAUGUAAACCCAGAAAAAUAGUAAAUAAAUUGCCAAAUAUUCUAUUUUCUCUAUAGGUUGACACUUGACAUUUGACAAUUGACAUUUUAAUUUUAAAAUUUUUCAUUUGUAAACAAACAUAACAAACUUUUAAAUUAAAGUUACAUUAAAUUCAUCGCCGCGUGUGAAUUCAUAAAUCAUUAUUUAAAUAAAUAAAUCAGUGGCAAUUUGUGUUUUGUAAUUUUGUUCACAUAUUUUGAUGUAUUCAUUUGGUGCAUUUGUUGAGUGGUGGAUAUUUUGUGGUGUCGUCCUUUUGUAGUUAAUUUUACAUUAAUUUAAGAUGACGUAUUAUAAAUGUUCUGUACCUGGUUGUAACAACACGCGAAAGGACUAUAAAUUACAUAAGUUUCCAUUAUGAAAAGUGGCUUAAGUGUAUAAACUGUAAUAAAUUGCGGAAGAAAACUUUAAACGAACUUGAUUAUCUUCAAGUAUGUACUAAUUAUUUUGAAAAACGUUUUGUUACACAAAAAUAUCGCCUUUUAGAAACUGCAUACCCUAUUUUGUUCUCAGAUUCUGAGAUCCUUAACGGGACUCCAUCUAACCCUUCAAAAUGGAUGUCUGAAAAAGAUAGUAUCGUGGCAGUGAAGCGAAAAAGGAGAAAGGGUAAAAUCAACCAGCUCUACCUACGGCCGUGUUGCAAGGAAAUCUACAAGAAAUGUAGGCUUUCCCAAAGAAAUCUUAACAGCAUAAAAAAAAAACAAAAAAAGAUUCACAGUGUAAACAUAUAUGUGAUAAGAUGCCAAAACUUAAUCCACUUGCCCAACAAAUAUUUGCAACACAAUUACGAUUGUGUAAUGUGAGGGAAAGACAGAAAAGGUUCACAUAUGAUGAGAAAUUGUUCUAUUUAACAUUAUUUGAGAAGGGUAAACAAUCAUAUAAAUAUUUAAAAAAUGCUUUUCUAAUGCCUUCUGAGAAAACUUUGAAACAUUUUGUAGCUACAUUCAAUGCUGUAAUUAAGAUGGCAAGUGAAGAAAAUAGAGAAAUUUAAAAUUAA